AUCCUACGGGGCGCAGCAGUGGGGAAUAUUGCACAAUGGGGGAAACCCUGAUGCAGCGACGCCGCGUGAGUGAAGAAGUAUUUCGGUAUGUAAAGCUCUAUCAGCAGGGAAGAAAAUGACGGUACCUGACUAAGAAGCCCCGGCUAACUACGUGCCAGCAGCCGCGGUAAUACGUAGGGGGCAAGCGUUAUCCGGAUUUACUGGGUGUAAAGGGAGCGUAGGUGGCAGGGCAAGUCAGAUGUGAAAACCCGGGGCUCAACCCCGGGAGUGCAUUUGAAACUGUCCAGCUGGAGUGCAGGAGAGGG
rnacentral:rRNA from 1 species